GAAGGAUGGCCGGAGCUCAGCCCUUUGCGCCGAGAGCGCCCAGCAUCCCGGCCGCGGAGCCGCGCCGAGCGGGGCGCGGGCGGACCCGAGGAGGAGAGCGGCGAUCCCCGCCGAGAUGCUUAUCUACAAUGAGUUCUAAACAGAGAGGAAUAAAUGUAGAAGGCUAAAGUGCUAAAAGCCUUGCUGAAGAUGCAAGCCACCUCCACUGGAAGUUAAUUAAAAAAAGGAAAUACGUCAGAUUAUCUGUAUUCCACACAGAUUAGAAGAUUCAGAUACUGCAAAAAUAGACAAGUCCUAACUACACUGCACGAUGUGGCAUUAAUACUUCCUUUGUAGUAUAUUCCUCAACAAUUCUAAAUACUGAGAUUAUAACACUCAGAUGUGUUCUCCA